GAUAAACGCUAGCGGCAGGCUUAACACAUGCAAGUCGAGGGGCAGCAUAGAUUGUAGCAAUACAAUUGGUGGCGACCGGCGCACGGGUGCGUAACGCGUAUGCAACCUACCCGUCACAGGGGGAUAAUCCGGAGCAAUCUGGUCUAAUACCCCAUAACAUAUGGAUCGGCAUCGGUUCAUGUUGAAAUUUUCGGAGGUGACGGAUGGCAUGCGUAGCAUUAGCUUGUUGGUGAGGUAACGGCUCACCAAGGCGACGAUGCUUAGGGGGACUGAGAGGUUUUCCCCCCACACUGGUACUGAGACACGGACCAGACUCCUACGGGAGGCAGCAGUGAGGAAUAUUGGUCAAUGGGCGCAAGCCUGAACCAGCCAUGCCGCGUGCAGGAUGACGGCUCUAUGAGUUGUAAACUGCUUUUGUACGAGGGUAAAGUGGGUUACGUGUAACCUUUUGAAAGUAUCGUACGAAUAAGGAUCGGCUAACUCCGUGCCAGCAGCCGCGGUAA
rnacentral:rRNA from 1 species